GAGGCAUUCCGAUCGACAGCCGAAUAUUGCUUCAUUGAUCGAGAAUACCCCACCCCAUAUCAAUACACCUUGCUACGCAUCAGACAGCCGCAACUGGCGCAAAAAAAAAAGUGGAUCGCACAUCUAAAAAAGGGGGAUAAAACAGCCUCGCCUCUCUCCCCGCACAGCACACGAUUGCACCUUGAAACAGCAGCACGGCCAAGAUUGUUUCAACAAAAGUUUCAGCGCACCGAAAACACUCACAAACACACGCACGCACUCACAACUAUCUACAUUGGAAAGGAGGCAAGGAAUGCAGAAUAUGAGGAGUGGGGAACGUACACCGCGUUUCAAAACAUAGCGCAUGCGUCGGAUAGCAGGUCCUGUACCAUGUGCAUUUAACUAAAACACAGAUUUUUAUUUAUUUUUAUUAUUUUUAUGCGAAAAUUUCGUGCGACAACCGAUAUAUCACAUA